rnacentral:lncRNA from 1 species
UUGGUACGAUACCAUCAGAGUAUAUCUGUAUGAAUAUUCAGAUAGUCUGCAAAAGGAGGUGUUCUAUGAUUGAAUAGAUCAGAUGAGUGCAUCUUUGAAUAUAGGGAAGUUCCUGAUGACAAGAAGGUGAAGCUUGUCAUGCUGAAAUUGACGGAUCAGACAUCCACCUAGUGGCAAUAGCUGAAGAAAAUCAGAGAGCUUAGAGGCAAACCAAAGAUUUAGGAUUGGGAGAAGAUAAAGAAGGCAUUGCAGAAGCAACUUUUAUCUUUUAACUACAUGCAGUUUGAUAAUGUCGCGAUGUUAUCAUUAGGACAUCAUAAUUAUUAAAUUAAUUUUGAUUUUUUUAAAAAAAUUAAAAAUAUAUAGAAAGUAGUAAGUCAUAUCGAAUUCACAGAGAAGACAGUGCUUUGAUUUGAUAAUUUUAUUUUUUAUAAAAAAAAUUUUAAAAAUAAAAUUAUAAACAGAAGAUAAGAAUUAAACAGUGCAGAAAAAUAAAUUUGAUACUAAGAUCUACUAUUUAGAUCUUAGCUUUUACUUGUAACAAAAAUAAAGAACAA